GGAUAAGGGUUAAUGUGUUAGUAAUCACCUAACCUAGACCUUGAAUCUACACCCCCUAACCUUCUAAAUCAUAGACCCAUAAUCCAUAACCCUUCUAAAGACGUAUUGCGAUUUAUUCCCAUUACUCUGCAUGUCAAAGUGAAGAAAUUCAACCAAGCGUGAGUAAACGACGGGAGUAACUAUGACUCUCCUAAGGUAGCCAUAUGCCUCACCAUCUAAUUAGUGACGCGCAUGAAUGGAUUAACGAGAUUCCCAUUGUCCCUAGAUAAUAUCUAGAGAAACCACAUCCAAGGGAAUGGGCUUGGCAGAAUUAACGGGGAAAGAAGACCCUGUUGAGCUUGACUCUAGUCCUAACUCAUUCAUAGUUUGGGAAAAUUAGGGCAUAGUUUUGGAAAAUUAGACCAUAAAAUUUGUCUUUGGGAGUUACAAACCAUGCAUGAUGUCUCGAGCACACACCUCACAAGACAUACAUAGGGAAUCUUUGGCAUGUGAGUAAGUUGUGGUGCCCAUUUUAAGACAUGUCAUAGUAGGGGAGGUUUUUUGGGCCUAGUCCAUGGUCUAAAGUCAAAAUAUAAGAUCUGUAGUCCAUAACAUUUUCCUUUAGGGUUCAUGAGCCAUGCAUUGGACCAUAAUCCAACAGUCAAUCACUAUAUGGGAAUUUUUUGGCUUAUAAGUGGGAUAUGGUGGCCAUUUUAAGAUUUGCAACAUCAGGGUCGAUGUUGCUCUGGGCCUAGUCCUUAUCCUAGGGUCUAA
rnacentral:ncRNA from 1 species